CUGAGACCGCCACCCUGACUAACAGGGGCCAGGCUCCUGCUAAAUGCUCCUCUCAGCAACAAUGCUAAGGACUCAUCUGCUGGAUCUGAUAAACCCAGUAAUUAAGCAAGAAGCUCCUCUAAAAGGCCUGGCCUACAGCAGAUAAAGUUAAUGAACCCCCACAGGACUGAUACAGCUUACACGGCAAGACUGCCUAUGCUGACACAGCUUGUUACUGCUGCC